rnacentral:rRNA from 1 species
UACGAAGGGGGGCUAGCGUUGCUCGGAAUCACUGGGCGUAAAGCGCACGUAGGCGGCUUUCUAAGUCAGGGGUGAAAUCCUGGAGCUCAACUCCAGAACUGCCUUUGAUACUGGAGAGCUUGAGUCCGGGAGAGGUGAGUGGAACUCCGAGUGUAGAGGUGAAAUUCGUAGAUAUUCGGAGGAACACCAGUGGCGAAGGCGGCUCACUGGCUCGGUACUGACGCUGAGGUGCGAAAGCGUGGGGAGCGAACAGG